UACGGAGGGUGCAAACGUUGCUCGGAAUUACUGGGCGUAAAGGGCUCGUAGGCGGCCAACUAAGUCAGACGUGAAAUCCCUCAGCUUAACUGGGGAACUGCGUCUGAUACUGGAUGGCUUGGAUUCGGGAGAGGAAUGCGGAAUUCCAGGUGUAGCGGUGAAAUGCGUAGAUAUCUGGAGGAACACCGGUGGCGAAGGCGGCAUUCUGGACCGACAUUGACGCUGAGGAGCGAAAGCCAGGGGAGCAAACGGG
rnacentral:rRNA from 1 species